AGUGAACGCUGGCGGUAGGUCUAACACAUGAAAGUCGAACGGCAGCACAGUAAGAGCUUGCUCCUACGGGUGGCGAGUGGCGGACGGGUGAGGAAUACAUCGGAAUCUACUUUUUCGUGGGGGAUAACGUAGGGAAACUUACGCUAAUACUGCAUACGACCUACGGGUGAAAGCAGGGGACCUUCGGACCUUGCGCGAUUGAAUGAGCCGAUGUCGGAUUAGCUAGUUGGCGGGGCAAAGGCCCACCAAGGCGACGAUCCGUAGCUGGUCUGAGAGGAUGAUCAGCCACACUGGAACUGAGACGCGGUCCAGACUCCUACGGGAGGCAGCGAUGGAGAAUAUUGGACAAUAGGCACAAGCCUGAGCCAGCAAUACCGCGUGGGUGAAGAAGGGCUUCCGGUGGUAAAACGCUUUUGUUGGGGAAGAAAAGCAGCAGGUUAAUACCCCGCUGUACUGACGGUACCAGAAGAAUAGGCACCGGCUCACUUCGUG
rnacentral:rRNA from 1 species